UCAGGACGAACGCUGGCGGCGUGCCUAAUACAUGCAAGUGGAACGCAUGAUUGAUACCGUAGCUUGCUACACCAUUAAUCAUGAGUCGCGAACGGGUGAGUAACGCGUAGGUAACCUGCCUACUAGCGGGGGAUAACUAUUGGAAACGAUAGCUAAUACCGCAUAAGAGUUUUUAACACAUGUUAGAAAUUUAAAAGGAGCAAAUGCUUCACUAGUAGAUGGACCUGCGUUGUAUUAGCUAGUUGGUAAGGUAACGGCUUACCAAGGCGACGAUACAUAGCCGACCUGAGAGGGUGAUCGGCCACACUGGGACUGAGACACGGCCCAGACUCCUACGGGAGGCAGCAGUAGGGAAUCUUCGGCAAUGGGGGGAACCCUGACCGAGCAACGCCGCGUGAGUGAAGAAGGUUUUCGGAUCGUAAAGCUCUGUUGUAAGAGAAGAACGUUGAGUAGAGUGGAAAGUUACUCAAGUGACGGUAUCUUACCAGAAAGGGACGGCUAACUACGUGCCAGCAGCGGC
rnacentral:rRNA from 1 species